UACGAAGGGGGCUAGCGUUGUUCGGAAUUACUGGGCGUAAAGCGCACGUAGGCGGCCUCUUAAGUCAGGGGUGAAAUCCCGGGGCUCAACCUCGGAACUGCCUUUGAUACUGUGAGUCUCGAGACCGGAAGAGGUGAGUGGAAUUCCUAGUGUAGAGGUGAAAUUCGUAGAUAUUAGGAAGAACACCCGUGGCGAAGGCGGCUCUCUGGUACGGAACUGACGCUGAGACGCGAAAGCGUGGGGAGCGAACAGG
rnacentral:rRNA from 1 species